rnacentral:lncRNA from 1 species
UGGGAUAUGGUAGAGGGAGUGAUGAGGCAAGUUGCCUAGAGCCGAAGGAAUUCAGAUCUUCUGAGAUAGAGAUCUUACCAGAAGGUGUCGAAGAAGAGGUUAGAGGCACUAGCUUCUUCUUGGUCGUUGAAGACUCUCCCAGCUUUAGAAUCUUCUUCUUUUGAACUAUCGUCUUAUGAGAAGGUUCCAUCUUUCUCUUCAAGAAGUUAUGAGGAUGAUCUGGAAGCCAAUCCAUGCUGAAGCCAGAGAUGUCGUAACCUUGAGCUUCCAGAUCUUGCAGAUAAC